rfam:Aedes aegypti strain Liverpool supercont1.229 genomic scaffold, whole genome shotgun sequence.
CCAUCGGCCCUUUUCAGGGCCAUCAAAUAAGUGGAAAGAGUUAAAA